AGCCCAUGGUGCGGACAAAUUCUCAACAUGUCCUUAUAUCUCUCCCAUGCUUCGAAAAGCAAUUUGUUAUCUUUUGGCCUAAAUCCGUUGAUUUGACUUCUUAGCAU